GUGAGGAAUAUUGGACAAUGGGCGCAAGCCUGAUCCAGCCAUGCCGCGUGCAGGAAGACGCAUCUAUGGUGUGUAAACUGCUUUUGUACGGGAAGAAACACUCCCUCGUGAGGGAGCUUGACGGUACCGUAAGAAUAAGGAUCGGCUAACUCCGUGCCAGCAGCCGCGGUAAUACGGAGGAUCCAAGCGUUAUCCGGAAUCAUUGGGUUUAAAGGGUCCGUAGGCGGUUUAAUAAGUCAGUGGUGAAAGCCCAUCGCUCAACGAUGGAACGGCCAUUGAUACUGUUAGACUUGAAUUACAAGGAAGUAACUAGAAUAUGUAGUGUAGCGGUGAAAUGCUUAGAUAUUACAUGGAAUACCAAUUGCGAAGGCAGGUUACUACUUGUGGAUUGACGCUGAUGGACGAAAGCGUGGGGAGCGAACAGGAUUAGAUACCCCAGUAGCC
rnacentral:rRNA from 1 species